CCGCACAGCGGUGAGCAUGUGUUAUCGACGAUACGCGAAGACUUACAGGUCUUGACAUCCUGAUGUUAGCUAUAGAGAUAUAGUGAGAUUGUCGGAGACAGGUGGUGCAUGGUUGUCGUCAGCUCGUGCCGUGAGGUGUCGGCUUAAGAGCCAUAACGAGCGCAACCCCUUUCGUUAGUUGCCAUCAGGUGAUGCUGGGCACUCUGGCGAUACUGCCACCGUAAGGUGUGAGGAAGGUGGGGAUGACGUCAAAUCAGCACGGCCCUUACGUCCGGGGCUACACACGUGUUACAAUGGCGCAUACAGAGAGUUGGUUGCACGCAAGUGUGAUCUAAUCAAUAAAGUGCGUCGUAGUUCGGACUGGGGUCUGCAACCCGACCCCACGAAGCUGGAUUCGCUAGUAAUCGCGCAUCAGCCAUGGCGCGGUGAAUACGUUCCCGGGCCUUGUACACACCGCCCGUCAAGCCAUGAAAGCCGGGGGCACCUGAAGUCUGUGACCGCGAGGGGCGGCCUAAGGUGAAACUGGUAAUUGGGGCU
rnacentral:rRNA from 1 species